UACGUAGGGUGCAAGCGUUAAUCGGAAUUACUGGGCGUAAAGCGUGCGCAGGCGGUUUUGUAAGACCGAUGUGAAAUCCCCGGGCUCAACCUGGGAACUGCAUUGGUGACUGCAAGGCUUGAGUGUGUCAGAGGGAGGUGGAAUUCCGCGUGUAGCAGUGAAAUGCGUAGAUAUCGGGAGGAACACCAAUGGCGAAGGCAGCUCGCUGGGACGGUACUGACG
rnacentral:rRNA from 1 species